rnacentral:tRNA from 1 species
CUCCUCGUAGCUCAAAUGGUAGAGCGGGCCACCCAGGGGGCUCAGGUUGCGGGUUCGAGACCCGUCGUGGGGACC